GUAGUUUAGACUGCACAGGUAGUUCAGAUAGUCCUCAGUACCGAUAUCAUAAAUUAGCCCCAGACCGGAUGCUCUCUCAGGGUUGACAUGUCUUGAUCCAAAUGCAAAAGGUGUUGCUAAAUUUGAAGAGGAAGAAGAACCAGCGACAACAUCUCUAAUUGGAGUAAAUUUGUUGUUUAGCAUAUAAGCUGUUGUCAUUAGAGCUGAUUUGAUCGCUGAGGGAGACCAGUCUCUGUGUACAGAUUUAAGGAGGGCAGCCAGGCCACUCACAUGUGGACAUGACAUGGAUGUCCCUGAGAUUAUGUUGAACUCAACACUUAUUUUAUCACUCUUCAGCCGAGUCGGGCUCACUAUAGGAGGCAAGGCAGCCAAUAUAUUCAUCCCUAGUGCCGUAACGUCUGGCUUGAUCACAUCGGGUGCGAUUGGGUUGGGUCCUUUUGCCAGCCCUUCUCUACUUCUGCUGGAAGAACUAGUCUCGCGUAGAGCCCAUCGUAUUUCUGACUUCUAGAACCUCCAGCACACGGAAUGGACUGUCGGGACCUGUUGACCCAUUGAAAUGACUGGCAUGAAUAGACUGUCGGGACCUGUUGACCCAUUGAAAUGGCCGGCAUGAAUACAAGGAAGGCAGAGAAAGAUAAUGAACAGUGCCAUUGCUGAUAUUUUUCUAAAAAUGUUGUUUUAUUUUAAUUAUUUUAUAAAAAUGUUGUCCAUUCUCCAUCAUUCUUCUUAUUCUAUCUCCCUCCACUCGAACUCUCAUCUCUCUCCUUCUUCAAUACUCUCUAUGCCUCCCUUUCUCUUCCUCUUUCUCUUGGUUACGAAAGGAUUUCGGUUGGACUUGGUGGUGUUAGUGUUUCAGUUGGGCAGUUGGUUGGUAUUAUUGAUUGGGAUUUUCUAUCAACAAUGUGGGUGGGGUUUAUUGGUAGGUUUCUCUUUGUUCUUUUUGUUUUCUUUGUUCCAAGCUCUGUUUUGUUUGGUUAUUUUAUUCUCUUUGGAAUGCAUACUCUCAUUCUCCUCUUUGUUCUUCUCAGAUUUGUUAGUUCUUCUCUGUUAUGGUUUUUUGCUUUUUGGUUGUUUUCUUUUGCUUUUGUUGGUUGAUUUGUUAGUUCUUCUCUGUUAUGGGUUCUGUUUUUUGGCUGUUUUCUUUUCCUUUUGUUGGUUGGUAGGUGUUGCAGUGGCUUCCUUCUCUGACAGAGAUGGCUUUGUAUCUAGUGCUUGGUAAGGGUUUGCAGUUCGUCUGUUGGUUGUUCCUUUAUUGACACUGUGGUUACUGUGAUUCAUGGUGCUGAUGGUGACACACAGUGGUUACUGUGGUUCAUGGUGCCGAUGGUGGCACACACACGCACAUAAAGAGAGAGAGAGGGAGAGAUAGAAAGUCUGCUCCUCUUCGUUCCUCUCUGAAUUGGCAUGACAACACCAACGAGAGAUUCUUUAAUCUUCUUUGAGGUAAGUCGUAGCCCUAAAGUUUCUGCAUUUCUUUUGUCUCUCUUCCAAAUGUAUAUGAGAAACAUUCGUCUACUUCGGGGUUUUGGUUUUUUCAAAUUUUCUACUUAUUGGUGCCAUGGGGGCCUUCGAAGGUUCCUAUCUGAGUUAUGAUCCCUAAUUACACCUCCGAUGCAUUGAAGUCUAUGUGAACCACGACUCUGGUGUUUCAAUUGCUACUCGAUACCUUCUAUUGUUUGUGUCUAGGGAUUCCAUUUUCCUGGGAUCUGGAGUCAAGGCUCUUUCUUUGAGCUUUAUCAAAUUUAUUCCUUCAUCUGGACUAAUUGUUUCGCGACCUUUGUAGAGUUGAGCUAGUAGUGAAGCUACUACUAUAAUGGAUUCUUGUUGUGCAACCUUGAAUCCCAAUGCCCAUCCUGUGGAUGUUGGGAAAAGGGCUUAUUAAUGCAUACCAUGUUGGCGAAGAGUUUGAGAGCUGAUAAUGGAGAGAAAAAUUAAAACUGGCAUUGCUUUCUCUGUUCUUUGGGAUGUCAAUAACGACAUUGUGGUAAGUAAUGCAGUACAUAGCUCAUUUCCUUCUUCAAUAAACUAAUUAAACACGUGCUUAUUUUCUUCAUAUUUAUCACAAUUACCCAAAAUUAGGUCACUUCCAAAUUCUAGAAUAGUUAAAUUCUUCAUUUUAUGUCCAAGUUGAAAAUAGAAUUGGUAUUGAUUUUCAUGGAUCCUUUUCUGGGUUGCAAUUUUUUGUGAUCCUAUAUGAUUAAAUUGCCAAAAAAAGUGAUCAAAUUAAAGGUUCCUUUCUACUUAGAUUAUUUUAUCUGAAUAUGCUCUCACCCUUUCAUUUAUGUUUUGACUUCAAGGUGAGACCACCCAAAAACCACUAUUUGGGAGGCAGAAGGUAGACCCAAAGAAAGAUGCUUAUAUAUUAAUUUAAGGGGCUUAAUGGGCCCUCUCUACCUCAGCAACAGAAGCAUGUUGAUACAAAUGCUGAUGGUACCAAUGGAUGAUAGAAACAUUUGUAUGGAGACAUGAUGUUACUCUGAAGAGUAAAUGCAAAGUUUGUCGGUGAAACUUUAAAGAGUAAGUGAUGUGUGAUGUCCUGUACGUAAGGGUGUUAAUGGACCGGUUUUGGAUUGGACCCCCUCCAGUCCAAAAUCAAUUUGGAUGGAUU